UCUUCCAGGUACCCUCAGCACCCUCGUUGACAAUCCUUCUUGUAGUUCUCAGGAAUCCCAGCAUUUCACCUUUUUGCUUUCCAUAGUUGAAACUUGUAAGAAACAUAUUAUCAUUUCUUCAUAUAAAGAGCUUGCCAGUAGCUGCCUAUUGUGCAAAUGCUGUGGCGCCAUUUAUAAUGCAGCAAGUUGUUAGGAGUUGGCUUAAUACGUUUAUUUAGCAGAAUAAUCAUAGUACAGGAUAUGACCUAUUCACAGAUCUUGUAGUACUUUUUCUGUCAAAUAUUAUUUCACUCUGGGCAUCAGGGGCAUAAAGGAUUUUUCUUAUAGAAAUAUGUCUCUACCUCAUGAUAAAGGCAGGUCUCCCAUAACUAGGUGAAACAAUUGUGGGUAGAAAUUAGAAGUCUUUUUCUGAUGUUGUCUCUGGAAUGAAUGACUUUAUUUAGCUGAAAAUACUUCUUAGAUCUAUCGUCAUUGCUCUAAGUACUUUUUACUGGUUUUGAUAUAAAAUUUUGGUCUGGGUAUUUUAAAAUUUCUAAGACAUUUAUAUAUACGCAAUUCUUUACUAAUGCUUGCAAGCUAACCAGACAUACCUAAAUUUGUCUUACUUGUAAGUUUUUAAAUAUAAUAACAAGCCAUGCACAAAAUAUCCUAUCCUAUACCCAGUACUUCUUCGAGGGCCAACUGAUCCUUAAAAUAAAUACUUGCCUCACCUUUGCAAUAAUGUUAGUAAUUACUUUGUCAAAAGUUUUGUCUCUUCCCAUUAGGGAUCGGGAUCACAAUGAGCUCAUUCUCAUAUGUGCCUUUUCACAAUCUCUGCCUGCCCUCUGGCUGAACAGAGGAAAAGAAUGCAGAGAUGUUCUCAUGGUGGUUGGCACAGCACUCCUUGUUCCAUUGGCUAUAUUUUGUCAUGUGGCCAUAUACAAUUGCUAAGAAGACUAGGACAUGAAUUCUAUUUUGUGCCUUGAAAGUACUCAUUCAGGUGGCAUCACAUUCUUUCCAUAACAACCAGGGUUUGUUUACUUGCCUAUUAAAGCAGACAAAUUGUCUCUGACCUUGAUGACCCCAUCCAAGUGUCUGCAUUUAGAAGACUUUGUAGAUAUACAGUCCUUGGUGGGAUGACCUCCAGUCAUGAGGUGUUAUACUUUUUCAAUGAUUAAUCUUCCUUGUAAUAUAAUGAUAUUUAUAUCACCUAUGAAUGCCUAAGCAUGAUUAUGUUCAUUGGGUGGCCCCAUUCUCUAGGCUGGGAUCCUGGACUGUAUAAAAGAAGACUGGAAAGUGCAGUAGCAAUGUGCUAAUUGCUAUCUUCUUUCCAAUUGUGAAUUAGAUGUGACCAGCUACUUCAACUUCUUGCUACUUCCAUAAUAUGAUGUACUCAAACUUUAAGCCUAAAAUAAACCCAUUCUUUCUUAAUCUGCUUUUUCCAGUGUAUUUUAUUAGAGCAACAUAGAAACUGACUAGUACAACUUCUUCCUAGGACACAAUGUCACUGAUUUCUUUGCUUAGAAGAAAAAUCAUGCCUGGAAAAGAGAAUUCUGGAUUUAAAAAGCAUUUAUGAGAAUCAAGUUCAGCCAAGGAAGAAAUACUUGAUCUCAUGCCCUGAGCUAAGAAUCCAGUUCCGUAAAUCCUAAACCCCUCAAAAAAGAAGAAAAAUAAUGAUAUAUUCAAGAAGGUUGAGACAGAGGGACAUUUCUGACGGCUAAAGGAAAAAUUCACAUAAGCUAUUUGGAGAUCUGUUUCAUUGGGCAUGGAGUAUUAAAAUGAAGUGGCUGACUGGGUAA
rnacentral:sRNA from 1 species